AGUAGAAACAAGGAGUUUU
rnacentral:misc_RNA from 1 species